rnacentral:rRNA from 1 species
CAGUAGCCGCGGGAAUACGUAGGGUGCGAGCGUUAAUCGGAAUUACUGGGCGUAAAGCGUGCGCAGGCGGUUGUAUAAGACAGAUGUGCAAUCCCCGGGCUCAACCUGGGACCUGCAUUUGUGACUGUAUAGCUAGAGUACGGUAGAGGGGGAUGGAAUUCCGCGUGUAGCAGUGAAAUGCGUAGAUGUGCGGAGGAACACCGAUGGCGAAGGCAAUCCCCUGGACCUGUACUGACGCCCAUGCACGAAAGCGUGGGGAGCAAACAGGAUUAGAUACCCGGGUAGUCCCUGUCUCUUAUAC